rnacentral:rRNA from 1 species
CCUACGGGAGGCUGCAGUGAGGAAUAUUGGUCAAUGGACGAGAGUCUGAACCAGCCAAGUAGCGUGAAGGAUGACUGCCCUAUGGGUUGUAAACUUCUUUUAUAAGGGAAUAAAACGAGGCACGUGUGCCUUUUUGUAUGUACUUUAUGAAUAAGGAUCGGCUAACUCCGUGCCAGCAGCCGCGGUAAUACGGAGGAUCCGAGCGUUAUCCGGAUUUAUUGGGUUUAAAGGGAGCGUAGAUGGGUUGUUAAGUCAGUUGUGAAAGUUUGCGGCUCAACCGUAAAAUUGCAAUUGAUACUGGCAGUCUUGAGUACAGUUGAGGUAGGCGGAAUUCGUGGUGUAGCGGUGAAAUGCUUAGAUAUCACGAAGAACCCCGAUUGCGAAGGCAGCUUACUAAACUGUGACUGACAUUGAUGCUCGAAAGUGUGGGUAUCAAACAGGAUUAGAUACCCCAGUAGUC